UACGUAGGGCGCAAGCGUUAUCCGGAAUUAUUGGGCGUAAAGAGCGUGUAGGCGGCCAGGUAGGUCCGCUGUGAAAACUCGAGGCUUAACCUCGAGAUGUCGGUGGAAACCAUCUGGCUAGAGUCCGGAAGAGGAGAGUGGAAUUCCUGGUGUAGCGGUGAAAUGCGCAGAUAUCAGGAAGAACACCCGUGGCGAAGGCGGCUCUCUGGGACGGUACUGACGCUGAGGUGCGAAAGCGUGGGGAGCAAACAGG
rnacentral:rRNA from 1 species